rnacentral:rRNA from 1 species
GACGAGGCACUACGGUGCUGAAGCAACAAAUGCCCUGCUUCCAGGAAAAGCCUCUAAGCAUCAGGUAACAUCAAAUCGUACCCCAAACCGACACAGGUGGUCAGGUAGAGAAUACCAAGGCGCUUGAGAGAACUCGGGUGAAGGAACUAGGCAAAAUGGUGCCGUAACUUCGGGAGAAGGCACGCUGAUAUGUAGGUGAAGUCCCUCGCGGAUGGAGCUGAAAUCAGUCGAAGAUACCAGCUGGCUGCAACUGUUUAUUAAAAACACAGCACUGUGCAAACACGAAAGUGGACGUAUACGGUGUGACGCCUGCCCGGUGCCGGAAGGUUAAUUGAUGGGGUUAGCGCAAGCGAAGCUCUUGAUCGAAGCCCCGGUAAACGGCGGCCGUAACUAUAACGGUCCUAAGGUAGCGAAAUUCCUUGUCGGGUAAGUUCCGACCUGCACGAAUGGCGUAAUGAUGGCCAGGCUGUCUCCACCCGAGACUCAGUGAAAUUGAACUCGCUGUGAAGAUGCAGUGUACCCGCGGCAAGACGGAAAGACCCCGUGAACCUUUACUAUAGCUUGACACUGAACAUUGAGCCUUGAUGUGUAGGAUAGGUGGGAGGCUUUGAAGUGUGGACGCCAGUCUGCAUGGAGCCGACCUUGAAAUACCACCCUUUAAUGUUUGAUGUUCUAACGUUGACCCGUAAUCCGGGUUGCGGACAGUGUCUGGUGGGUAGUUUGACUGGGGCGGUCUCCUCCUAAAGAGUAACGGAGGAGCACGAAGGUUGGCUAAUCCUGGUCGGACAUCAGGAGGUUAGUGCAAUGGCAUAAGCCAGCUUGACUGCGAGCGUGACGGCGCGAGCAGGUGCGAAAGCAGGUCAUAGUGAUCCGGUGGUUCUGAAUGGAAGGGCCAUCGCUCAACGGAUAAAAGGUACUCCGGGGAUAACAGGCUGAUACCGCCCAAGAGUUCAUAUCGACGGCGGUGUUUGGCACCUCGAUGUCGGCUCAUCACAUCCUGGGGCUGAAGUAGGUCCCAAGGGUAUGGCUGUUCGCCAUUUAAAGUGGUACGCGAGCUGGGUUUAGAACGUCGUGAGACAGUUCGGUCCCUAUCUGCCGUGGGCGCUGGAGAACUGAGGGGGGCUGCUCCUAGUACGAGAGGACCGGAGUGGACGCAUCACUGGUGUUCGGGUUGUCAUGCCAAUGGCACUGCCCGGUAGCUAAAUGCGGAAGAGAUAAGUGCUGAAAGCAUCUAAGCACGAAACUUGCCCCGAGAUGAGUU